AAAGAUCUUCCACCUACCGGUUUACCCUUGAAAUGCCCACAACAUCUGGAGGUGGGCCAGGCAGAAGGCAGGAGUUGGGAAUUGCGAAUUGCGGGCAGUGAAUGAGGUGCCACAAGGAAAAGGCACAUCAGGGGGCAGGUGCUGCUGCAGAUGAGUGGUCAGCGAGCACCUGCUGAUGACCUUGAGGUGCUAUGUUGGCCUCCUGGGGCUGCCAUGCCAAGGGAGUACCAUCCUGUGGCUUCCAUUGCACCAAAGUGUGGCCUCACCCAUUUGUGGAGGCUGGAAGUCGCAGGUCAAAGUGUGAGCAAGGUGGGUUCCUGCUGAGGGACAGGAGGGAGAACCUGUCCCAGCUCCCGGUGGGUGGCUGGCCCCAGCAGGCAUUCCUCAGCCUGUGGACACACCCUGAUCCCUGCCUCGGCCUUUGCAUGACGUCUGCCCCUUGGAUCUUCUUGCCAUCUUUUCUUUCCAUACCAGCCUGGGCCCAGAUAUGCCCUCUUUAUAAAUCACUAGUUAUACCAAGUCAGGAACCACACUAAAGGACCUUAUUUUAACUUAGUGGCCUCUAUAGACCCUGGUUCCAAAGCAGGCCAGGUUCCAAGGCCCUGGGCAGAAGAAUUGCAGCUUGGCAUUGCUUGGGCUUGGGGAAUUCAGCUCACAACUCACAGCGUACUUCACACUUCACCUCCUCCCUCACCAGGUAAGCAUGAGACAUACAGCACACCUGUAAAGACCUGAGUGGAAGGAUCCUGGAUGGGGUUUCGAAAGUCUUUAGAGAAUUCCCUGCAAUCCACCUUACUCUCCCCUCGUCUCUAAAAGUGACUUCAGGCUACCCAGAAAGUUCUUAAAACAGCCCCAGGCAUUUUAGCUGAGUAUGCUCUGGGCUGGCCCUGCUUGGAGAUGACCCAGAAAAUUCCUUCCAGUGACCUGAUUUGCCAUCAAGAAGAACUGAAGUGACAAAGGCUCAAUAGCAUCGUCUGGUUUACAGCAAUGAGGCAGAGCUGUGACGUGAAGGACAGCC